rnacentral:rRNA from 1 species
AGCCGGUCUGAGAGGAUGAACGGCCACAUUGGGACUGAGACACGGCCCAGACUCCUACGGGAGGCAGCAGUGGGGAAUCUUCCGCAAUGGACGAAAGUCUGACGGAGCAACGCCGCGUGAGUGAUGACGGCCUUCGGGUUGUAAAGCUCUGUUAAUCGGGACGAAAGGUCUUCUUGCGAAUAGUUAGAAGAAUUGACGGUACCGGAAUAGAAAGCCACGGCUAACUACGUGCCAGCAGCCGCGGUAAUACGGAAGGUCCAGGCGUUAUCCGGAUUUAUUGGGUUUAAAGGGAGCGUAGGCUGGAGAUUAAGUGUGUUGUGAAAUGUAGACGCUCAACGUCUGAAUUGCAGCGCAUACUGGUUUCCUUGAGUACGCACAACGUUGGCGGAAUUCGUCGUGUAGCGGUGAAAUGCUUAGAUAUGACGAAGAACUCCGAUUGCGAAGGCAGCUGACGGGAGCGCAACUGACGCUUAAGCUCGAAGGUGCGGGUAUCAAACAGGAUUAGAUACCCUGGUAGUCCGCACAGUAAACGAUGGAUGCCCGCUGUUGGUACCUGGUAUCAGCGGCUAAGCGAAAGCAUUAAGCAUCCCACCUGGGGAGUACGCCGGCAACGGUGAAACUCAAAGGAAUUGACGGC